rnacentral:rRNA from 1 species
UAAAACUAUUAAACGAUACAAUUUCUAAAACACUUAACAACAUACAACUGGCAUAAUAGCUUUUCUAUCGGUAGAGGAGCGUUGUAUAUGAAUUGAAGCAAAAAGCGUAAGCAAUUGUGGAUUAUAUACAAGUGAGAAUGCUGGCAUGAGUAGCGAAAAGGGAUGUGAGAAUCAUCCCCGUCGAAAGCCCAAGGAUUCCUGAGCAAGGCUCGUCCUCUCAGGGUAAGUCGGGACCUAAGGCGAGGCCGAAAGGCGUAGUCGAUGGACAACAGGUAGAAAUUCCUGUACUACAAGAUUGUGAUUGAGAGAAGUACUGACGCAGAAGGAAAAGUCGAGCGUGUGAAUGGUAGAACACGUCCAAGUAACAAGCCAGAAUAUACAGGCAAAUCCGUAUAUUCGUUAACGUAAGUUAUCAUGGGGAGCAGAAAGAUGCGAAGCGACAGAUUCAAACUGCCAAGAAAAGGUGCUAUCGAAUAAUCUUGUACCCGUACCGCAAACCGACACAGGUAGGCAAGAAGAGAAUUCUAAGACGCGCGGAAGAACCUUUGUUAAGGAACUCGGCAAAAUAAUCCCGUAAGUUAGCGAGAAGGGAUGCCUAAGAAAUUAGGUCGCAGAGAAUAGGCCCAAGCGACUGUUUACCAAAAACACAAGUAUCUGCUAAAUCGAAAGAUGAAGUAUAGGUGCUGACACCUGCCCGGUGCUGGAAGGUCAAGGGGACUUGUUAGAGCAAUCGAAGCAACGAACUUAAGCCCCAGUAAACGGCGGCCGUAACUAUAACGGUCCUAAGGUAGCGAAAUUCCUUGUCGGGUAAGUUCCGACCCGCACGAAAGGUGUAACGAUUUGGGCGCUGUCUCAACAAAGGAUCCGGUGAAAUUGUAGUAGUCGUGAAGAUGCGACUUACCCACGGUAGGACGGAAAGACCCCGUGGAGCUUUACUGCAGGUUGACAUUGAAUUUUGGGAUUAAAUGUACAGGAUAGGUGGGAGACUAAGAAGCAAGCUCGCCAGAGUUUGCAGAGUCACUGUUGGGAUACCACCCUUUUAAUUCUAAAGUUCUAACUAGUUGCCAUGAAACUGGUAAUAGGACACUGUCAGUCGGGCAGUUUGACUGGGGCGGUCGCCUCCAAAAAAGUAACGGAGGCGUUCAAAGGUUCGCUCAGAAUGGUUGGAAAUCAUUCAAAGAGUACAAAGGCAAAAGCGAGCUUAACUGCGAGACAUACAGGUCGAGCAGAGACGAAAGUCGGACUUAGUGAUCCGGUGGUACCGAGUGGAAGGGCCAUCGCUCAACGGAUAAAAGCUACCCCGGGGAUAACAGGCUUAUCUCCCCCAAGAGUCCACAUCGACGGGGAGGUUUGGCACCUCGAUGUCGGCUCGUCUCAUCCUGGAGCUGGAGUAGGUUCCAAGGGUUGGGCUGUUCGCCCAUUAAAGAGGCACGCGAGCUGGGUUCAGAACGUCGUGAGACAGUUCGGUCCCUAUCCACCGUGGGCGUGAGAAAUUUGAGAGGAUCUGUCCUUAGUACGAGAGGACCGGGAUGGACAGACCGCUGGUGUACGAGUUGUACUGCCAAGUGCACAGCUCGGUAGCUACGUCUGGAAAGGAUAAGUGCUGAAGGCAUCUAAGCACGAAACCAACCUCGAGAUAAGAUUUCUAUGAGAUUACUUGAAGAAAACAAGAUAGAUAGGUCAGAGGUGUAAAGAUAGUAAUAUCAAAGCUAACUGAUACUAAUAAAUCGAAAACUUGACUGG